AUCUUCUGGAAUGAGGGAAUCUGCUGUUGCCACAUUUAUUCUGUCAACUUUGACAUCAUACAACACUUUUUGGGGAAGGACAUCAACAGCCUUUCCUUGGACCUUAUCCUUCUGAUGCAUUCUCUUCGCUUAGUGGAGAAACAAAUGAUGGUGAAGCACGAUCUUCUGGAAUGCGGGAAUCUGCUGUUGCUGCAUCCAUUCCAUCAACUUUGGCAUCACACAACACUUUCUGAGGAAGGGCAUCAACAACCUUUCCUUGGACCUUAUCCUUUCUAG
rnacentral:lncRNA from 1 species